rnacentral:misc_RNA from 1 species
GUAGGUGAACCUGCGGAAGGAUCAUUAACACGUAUCCAACGUUAAAACAACCCUGUGAACCUUGAACGCGCUCUUGCAGCCCAUGAAAGCAGCAAUCCCUGGUAAAUCAUGUUGACCAGCUUUGAGUCAGGGACCUCUGCCGAUGAGAAGUUACAGGUUGCAAUACGAUGCGCUUGCAUUAAGUGACCUGGCAUCCCCAAGCAACCAUUGUCUGAAAGUGUCAUUGGUUGUGUAAGGAUGGCGCGUAAAC